rnacentral:lncRNA from 1 species
GGGACGCUGACAGAGGGGAGGAAUGUUCAUGUCUUUUCUCAGAAUAGGUGGAGAACACAAGUGCCACCUGUUUUCACUAUUUGGGGGUCUGGUGUUCUGACAUGUGACUGGUAGGUCUCUUUAGCCUUAAAGGUGGGGCAAGUCUAGGUCAAGUUAACCCUGUACCGCAGUUCUGGACAAGACAUGUCUCAGCUGACCAGCAGGUCCACAUGCAAAACAGUAGGAUCUGACCCAGGGUUAAGGUAUCAAAGGACACAGACACAAUAAAUAGGAAGGCAGAGAUGCCAAGCAUUUUCAUCCCAUUUCAGUCACCCACAGGGACAUCCGCAGGCCCAAGUGAAGAGUCACUGUUUUUAGCAAAAACAGCCUUCAUGUCCCUGAAGAGUAACCUAGGCAACUAUAAAUGUCACACCGCCCAGGUCAGAGAUGUGAUCUACAGCAAAGCAAGUGGGCUUUGUGACUUUUAAGUCAACUAAGAGGAAAUGGGUUUGGGGCUCUAGCCCAGUGGCAGAGUGCUUGCUGAGUAAGUGAAAUUGUAUUUAGGUUUUUCCCCCCAAUAAUAGGGUAUGUCCUGAAUAUUAUCCUCUGAUUUAUCAUCCCCUCCUGAUUCUCCUCCUAACCCCAAGUAGGUCCCCAAACACUAGAACCUUCCUUUUCAGUUUAUACUGCAUAUGGAAAAUACUGAUUAUUCCUAAUUAAGCUCCUGCUCUUGACCUCCAGGGCAUUGCCCAGCUUGAACUCAUACCAAAGAGAUC